rnacentral:tRNA from 1 species
GGCCGUGUUCGGGGUCAUGGUGCCCCUCGUGGUCUCCGACGUCACGCGCGGCACCGGACGGUUCAAUCUCGCCCUCGGUGC